CACACACACACACACACACACACACACACACACACACACACACACACAGAAACACAGUACACUACUGAAGCUGCCUCUGGCCGACAUUUCUUUCCUCUCCCCUCAUCCUCUCUCCUCCUCUCCUCUCUCCCUUCCUUUCUUUUUUUCUGAAUGGGUGUCCUCUCUCUAACCUCUCAAUUGAGAGGAGUGUAACCGGACAAUGCCCUUCACAGAGAUAGGCUCCGCCCCUUUCAGCCAGGCUCAUAAGACUAUAAGAGCACAGAGACUCGGCUCGGAGUGUGUGUAACAGAGUGUGUGUGUGUCUGUCUGCGUCAGAGGGACAGAGGGAGAAGGAGAGCAGGGGAGCCAGAGAGGGAGAGAAAGAGAGGGAGGUAGGCACAGAAAGAGAGGAGGACAGAGAGAGAGAAGGACUGAGGGAGAAGGAGAGUCUUAGUGCUGUGUAACAUAUGAUAGUAGUUUCUCUCGGCAGGGCCGAGCUGUGAGAGUGUGGUCGGCAGCGGCGUCUCGAGUGUGCUGGGAAAGCACCUUUAUCCCAGAGGGACUCAUACACAGAGAGAGAGAGAGAUAGAGAUAGAGAGAGAGAGAGAGAGAGAGAAAGAGAGAGAGUGUGUGUCUGCUUCAGCACAGCACAGCACUGCGCUGUCACUUUAAGCCUGUUACUGAUUACACUCAGAACACAGAAUGCAACUGGAGUAGAAAAAAAGACUGUCAGAGAAAGAAAGAAAGAAAGAGAUCUAAACCAAAUUCAAAAGAAUCCGUCCUUAGUUUCACAGAAACUGUGAAGUUGUGGAAGGGUGAGAGACAAUUAUCGCUCUCGCUCUUUUCUCUCUCUCUUUCUCUCUCUCUCUCUCUCUCUCUCUAUUCCUGAGAGUGGCAAACUGGAGGGGAACCCCAGAUGAUCUGCCAGGGAGAGAGCGGGGGCAGAGAAAAAGAGGAGGAAGAAGAGGGAAACAGACAAACAGAGACAGUGAGAGUCAUAGAGAAUGAGAAGGGGACCUUUCAGACCUGGUAAGAGGCUCCCAGACGUCAGGAGGAAAUGCUCCGAGAGGGUGUCAGAGCAGUCCUGAGUGUACCAAGCCACAGUCACCAGGGUGACUCACAACAGCACUGUGCUGUCAGCCACCCUGCUGACCUUCAACUACCUCUAGACAUCAGCUAUCCUCGUUCUAGCAUCUGUCUACAGGUAAGACGCUGUAUUUCAGCCCUCCUAAGUACUAUAGCAACAGCUAUAUGCUGUAUUUCAGCCCUCCUAAGUACUAUAGCAACAGCUAUAUGCUGUAUUUCAGCCCUCCUAAGUACUAUAGCAACAGCUAUAUGCUGUAUUUCAGCCCUCCUAAGUACUAUAGCAACAGCUAUAUGCUGUAUUUCAGCCCUCCUAAGUCCUAUAGCAACAGCUAUAUGCUGUAUUUCAGCCCUCCUAAGUACUAUAGCAACAGCUAUAUGCUGUAUUUCAGCCCUCCUAAGUCCUAUAGCAACAGCUAUAUGCUGUAUUUCUCCUCCAAUCAGCAAGCUCUCCGGGGACUGGGCAUUCUCAGUAGCAGGGUCAGGGUCAAAAUAAUGUUAUCUUCCUGAAUUUAAAAAGAACGGAACAUAAUUAAAAUGACUGAAUUGACCCCAGUCCUGCUUUGUAGCUCAGUGGCACCCUCCUGCUUGCUUGCUUGCGCAAGUCAUGGAUUGAUUGAUUUACAACAGUUGUGUUUUUCCCUCCCCUCCUCUUUCAUUCCCUUCUCUCUCUCUCUCUCUGUCUCUCUCUGGAAUGUACCGGGUCCUUCUCAAUUCAUUCAUGUGGAUCCAGGAAGCGCGUUCCUCCCCACAGCCCCAGGCUGCUCCAAACACAUACAGUACAUAGUCCACUGCCCAGUAGUCACUAUUGGCCAUGCUAAAAAGUACAGAAGUGACAAUAUCAUCAGAAGUUUGGCUCAUCCCAUUGCCGAGUUGAUCUAGUGAUCUCACUGCCACCACGUCCGACUGAUGUGCCACACUACUUUCCUCUCUACAGCAGUCAUCACCAAUGUCAGCCCUGCAUCACAUACUCAACCCACUCACCAACUCUCUUUCUCUGGCUCUCAGUCAACACUGCAACUCCUACGUUGACAUGGGACUUGACAUGGGACUCAAACUCACUGAACACAUUGAACUCUCAACACUAAUGUCAUCACCAGCCAAAACACUCCGAGAGAGAGAGAGAGAGAGAGAGAGAGAGAGAGAGGGAGAGAGAGAGAGAGAGAGAGAGAGACUUGGAGUCAAGUGAGCAUCAGCUGGUUGAGUAGAGUACUAGACUGCUAUGUUUGAUCAGUACGGUCAUACGGCUUCAGGUAUGCAGAGGCAAAAUUGGACAGGGGACAAGAGGGAGAGCCGAGCAUACAUAUCACUCCAUCCUCCAUCUGUCCAUACCUCCCCUAGAUUCCCCUCUUUCCUCCAUCUUUUCACACAGUAUGCAUCCUUCUAUCUCUCCCCCUCCAUGUUCUGAUCUGCCUCUCCAUUUGUUCAUCCAUCUCUCAAUAUCUCUCUCCUCUUUACUCUCCUUCACUCCAUUCCUUCCCAUGUCCUCUCCUCUUCUUUCCUCCCUCCCCCACUUCGAUUAGGUGGUUGAGUUUUCCCUAGAGGAAAAGAUGUAUGAUAUUUACGGUAAAUAACUGCCAUGAUAAUCUCAUACAGAUUUGUCCCCAUAUGACUUAUUUUUUACGGUAUUCGGGGAGGGAAAGCUGAUCCUAGAUCCGUAGUAAAGUUUGUGUCUAAUGGUUCAGGUUAGGAUUUGGAGAGGGUAAGCUGAUCAGUGCCUAGAGCAAAGUGCUUAAAGGAAACUUCUCCCUAAAAGAGAAUGCAAGUGUGGCAUCAGAGUCACUGUGGAGCUGACAUGGCAGUGCCUGUUGCCUCCAGUUGCCCCAGGCCUAAUGGGAAAGAAUGUCAGGAAUCUGAAACUGAUAAUGCCAUGCUUAGAGAUAGCUAUAGAGAGAUAAUUCUCAUAUCCUUCCCUCCCCUCACCCCAUCCUCUCUGUCUGUUCUGUCUCUCCCUCGUCACCCUUCUCCUCUCCUCUCACCCCAUCCUCUCUCCUUGUUUCUUCUCCUCCCUCCCUCCCUCUUCCUUCUCCUCUCACUUAAGAGCUGCAGUCAAUGUUGCCUUAUGAUUUCUUACCCAAUAAUGACCAUCUCUUUCUCCCACUUUCUCUCUUUCUCUCUCUAACCAGAAUGGACCCAAUGAUCAUAUGAGGAUGACGACCAUGAUGAAGGCAAUGCAAUUUCAUCAACGUGGAUCCUUUAUUUAUAUCUGCAGCCCAUUCCCUCUAUCCCCCCUACCAUGACGGACAGCCUGUAUUUGCGUGUGGGUCAAUUGCUCAGUAGGCAGUGUAGAUCCUGUGUAAUUAUCAGCAGCUACAUCUGGCUACUGGGUCUCUGAACACACGCCACUGCCCGCUUCCUACUCCCGGCCUGGUGGUACAUCCCAUUACCAACUGAUUGGCUAAUUGCACAUUCAAUUUCUCUCUGGUUGUCUAGUAUGUUAUCAUAUGGGCUGUUACAUCUCAUGACAGCACAGGACGCUCUCUAUGCUUGUCAUUCCAACGACAAAAAAAUCUGAAUAUUUUUCUCUCUCUCUUCUCCUCUCAAUUAUCUUCUCCCUCCGCACCGUCCUUGGCGAGAACCAUUCAAACUCUUCUUGCUAUUCUUCUCUGAAUUGUGCUGUUUUCUAAAAGAGAGAAAAGAGAAUUGACGAGAGCAGACAAAAAGCGAGCCAGAGUUGAAGGAAAUGUCAAAUGUGUCAGGCACAAUAGCACAGAGCCUUUAAGAGAGGAGAACAUUGUUUACGAUGCGAUGCCUGCAGUUUCCAUAGAAAUAUGUCUAUAGAGAACAGGCAAGAUGAAAUGUCACAUUCUCUCUAUGAUCACUCAGUCAGAGACAGUGUGCGCGUGGGCGUGUGUGUGUGUGUGUGUGUGUGUGUGUGUGUGUGUGUGUGUGUGUGUGUGUGUGUGUGUGUGUGUGUGUGUGUGUGUGUGUGUGUGUGUGUGUGUGUGUGUGUGUGUGUGACAGCUGACGAGACAUCUUUGCUUGGUCCUGGACCUAGCAUACAAUGUAGAUUUCUGUGUGGUUUAAGCUACAGCUACAUUGUCUGCUGGGUUUCAGGCUGGCAACAAAAGCAGCCCUCAACAGCUGAAUGAUUCAAGAACUCAACAAAUCCACUCUUCAAGAACUCAACGAAUCAACUCUUCAAGAACUCAACAAAUCCACUCUUCAAGAACUCAACGAAUCAACUCUUCAAGAACUCAACGAAUCAACUCUUCAAGAACUCAACGAAUCAACUCUUCAAGAACUCAACGAAUCAACUCUUCAAGAACUCAACAAAUCCACUCUUCAAGAACUCAACGAGGUAAGUUCACAUUCAUUCCGCCACUGUGUCAAAUGUUUCACCCUAAAAUACAAUGAAAUGUCAUAUCUUUUAAUAAACAUAUAGAAAAGUA